UCCCUGUCCUACUAGUCCCUCCCUGUCCCCUCCUCCCAGUCCCCUCCUCCCUGUCCCCUCCUCCCUGUCCUACUAGUCCCUCCCUGUCCCCUCCUCCCAGUCCCCUCCUCCCUGUCCCCUCCUCCCUGUCCUACUAGUCCCUCCCAGUCCCCUCCUCCCUGUCCUACUAGUCCCUCCCUGUCCCCUCCUCCCUGUCCUACUAGUCCCUCCCUGUCCCCUCCUCCCUGUCCCCUCCUCCCUGUCCCCUCCUCCCUGUCCUACUAGUCCCUCCCUGUCCUACUAGUCCCUCCCUUCCAUCCCAGUCCCCUCCUCCCUGUCCUACUAGUCCCUCCCUGUCCCCUCCUCCCUGUCCUACUAGUCCCUCCCUGUCCCCUCCUCCCUGUCCCCUCCUCCCUGUCCCCUCCUCCCUGUCCCCUCCUCCCUGUCCUACUAGUCCCUCCCAGUCCCCUCCUCCCUGUCCCCUCCUCCCUGUCCUACUAGUCCCUCCCUGUCCCCUCCUCCCUGUCCUACUAGUCCCUCCCAUGGUAAUGUUUUGAAGGAGAUGUUCAGUCCUUGGGGGGUUUAGGUGUUCAUAUCUGCAUGUUCUGUGAGACGGACUAAGUGCCAAACUCUCCCGUGUGUCCGAUGUUCAACGUGAGCCUUACCACCGGUGCACUUUGUAGGGUACUAGUGUGGUUUCAGAUUGUGCCCUAAACUAAUGUGUACAAACAUCACGGAAGAUUAUAGCUUGUUUAUGUUUACAUUCUAGAAGUGGUUUGUUUACAUUUAGAAGUUAUUUAUUUAUGUUCUAGAAGCUAUUUGUUUACAUUCUAGAAGCUGUUUGUUUACAUUCUAGAAUCUGUUUGUUUACGGUCUAAAAGCUGUUUGUUUAUGUUCUAGAAGCUAUUUGUUUACAUUCUAGAAGCUGUUUGUUUACGUUCUAGAAUCUUUUUAUGUUUACAUUCUAGAAGCUGUUUGUUUACAUUCUAGAAUCUUUUUACGUUUACGUUCUAGAAGCUGUUUCUUCUCCAUUCUGGAAGCUGCCAAACUGCCCUGCUAGUUGUCUUCCUUCACAGAGCAUCACAGUCAGUCAGCUACCCAGAGAUAAAGUAGACAUACCACGAUGUCUGUUUAUUACUGUACAUACCCUGGGUCUCUCUACAUCUGCUCUGUGGAAUACAAACCCUGCUCGUUGUUACCAUGGUGACAACACACCCACACACACACACUCACUAGCGAACCUCACUGCCCAGUGUGUGUGUGUGUGUGUGUGUGUGUGUGUGUGUGUGUGUGUGUUGUUUCAGGUCUGAAGAAAAAGAAAGACAAGUAAAGUGUUCUAGAACCAGGAGGUGUUCUAGAACCAGGAGGUGUUCUAGAACCAGGAGGUGUUCUAGAAACAGGAGGUGUUCUAGAACCAGUCUGUCUCUCCAUCUUGUACAGCGGCUCUAGGUGAAGCCGAGACAUUUACAGUCAUAUUACAUAUUAUAUUUACAAUCCAAGAGGUUUUGGUGUUUGUUGAUAUAUAUAUAUAUAUAUAUAUAUAAAAAAAAAGGUCAAACAUGAUGAAUAUAUAUAAAACGCUGAAUAUAAAACUGACCUCCACAAAGCCUGGUGCCACCUGCUCCUUUUAGCGGUGAAACAGCGUCCUCUAGCAGCCGGAGGAAAUAGAGCUUUUAAAGUGCAACAACAACAGCUUCUUAGCAGAGACUAAUAAUAUCUCGAGCAAGAAUUUAGCUCGGACUGUCAGAGCGGUCUGAUUGGUGAGGGGGGGAACUUAGCUGUUAUUGGCAGAGAGAUUUCAAACCUCUCUUAUUGGUCUAUUAACCUAAUUAUGAUGUCACAAGGCUGGCCAAAAAAAACUCCGCCCCCAACCAAAAAACAGGAUUGAAAAUUUCAGAGGGGUCUUUUCAAAUAACUCUUCCCACUAAAAUGACAUUAUCAAUUUCACAGUAUUAUUCCAACCUCAUAGCGUGGAAAUAUAUCAAUCACAGGAACGUUUUUUCACUGCCCUGGGCCUUUAAAAGAAGUUUAAUAAAAAGUGACGAAUGUAAUAUUGUGUGGUAAAAAAAAAAAAAAUGUUCUGUUGAAUUCUGUGUAAUUAUGAAUUUUGAUUUAAAAGAGAUGUUUUGAUUUGUAAAAUUCAUUUGAUCUGAAUUGAGAUGGAGAAAUAAAAAAUAAAACGUUGAUUACCCCUAAAAAAAAAUACUGAAAGGUUGAAUAAAAUGACAGAUAAAACUCCGUUCUGUUAUAGGGGAGGUCUUUAUGUCCAGAUAAAAGGGGAGGUUUCCUUUAUGUUCAGAUAAAAGGGGAGGUUUCCUUUAUGUCCAGAUAAAAGGGGAGGUUUCCUUUAUGUUCAGAUAAAAGGGGAGGUUUCCUUUAUGUUCAGAUAAAAGGGGAGGUUUCCUUUAUGUCCAGAUAAAAGGGGAGGUUUCCUUUAUGUUCAGAUAAAAGGGGAGGUUUCCUUUAUGUUCAGAUAAAAGGGGAGGUUUCCUUUAUGUUCAGAUAAAAGGGGAGGUUUCCUUUAUGUCCAGAUAAAAGGGGAGGUUUCCUUUAUGUCCAGAUAAAAGGGGAGGUUUCCUUUAUGUCCAGAUAAAAGGGGAGGUUUCCUUUAUGUCCAGAUAAAAGGGGAGGUUUCCUUUAUGUCCAGAUAAAAGGGGAGGUUUUCCUUUAUGUUCAGAUAAAAGGGGAGGUUUUCCUUUAUGUCCAGAUAAAAGGGGAGGUUUCAGUAUGCAGAUCAGGGACGAUAUACAGGACCAGUCAAAAUGUUGGACAACACCAACUCAAUCCAGGGUUUUUAUUUUAAUUGUAUUUUUCUACAUUGUAGAAUAAUAGUGACGACAUCAAAACUAUGAAAACAACCCCUAUUAAUAUAGAAUGUUCUCUGGGUUUAAUAGACAUAUUAAAAGAUUAGUCAUAUAACUUUUUUAAAAAUUAUUAUAAUUAUUAUUCCCUUUAAUGUGGCAUGAAACAGAACCAGUCCUGUUUUCAGCUGAUUGUCUAACAAUCCCUUCCCGAAAGAGAUCUGUCACACAAAACUAAAAAACUAAAAAGUGUGAUGUCAUUCAGUGAUUGUCAUUCGUAACCAUUCGGCUUGUAGCCUGAAUUGAUGCGUCCACUGCUGUAAACGCGCGUCGCGGUCCGUCUCCGUCCGUCUCCGUAGAAACGCAGUCUGGAGGGAAUUUACUGGCCGUUUUAAAUGUUUCAUUCGCUCAUUUUCGUGCAGAUGAGCCGCGGUAAUGUUAAUCCAGAGGUUCCUACCAGCUGUUAUCUCUCUCUCUCUCUGAAUGUCUGGCUGCUGUCACAUCACCUCGGUCAAAUAAAGCUGGACAUUUUGGAUGACUG
rnacentral:lncRNA from 1 species